rnacentral:rRNA from 1 species
CAGCCGCCGCGGUAAUACGUAGGGUGCGAGCGUUAAUCGGAAUUACUGGGCGUAAAGCGUGCGCAGGCGGUUCGUUAAGACAGAUGUGAAAUCCCCGGGCUUAACCUGGGAACUGCAUUUGUGACUGGCGAGCUAGAGUAUGGCAGAGGGGGGUGGAAUUCUGCGUGUAGCAGUGAAAUGCGUAGAUAUGCGGAGGAACACCGAUGGCGAAGGCAGCCCCCUGGGCCAAUACUGACGCUCAUGCACGAAAGCGUGGGGAGCAAACAGGAUUAGAUACCCCCGUAGUCCCUGUCUCUUAUAC